rnacentral:lncRNA from 1 species
GGAAAAGUCAAGAUGUCCAGCAGCAGGCACCUAAUGAUGGCUGCUGGUCCCAAGGAGGGAACACAGGCUCUUCUCUAAUGAGCUCAAAACUCAGCACCCAAGGUCUGAUGAGUGACUGUGAGGAGGCGAGGCUCAGGCAGAGUUACAAAGCAGGACAGUGCUCAUCAUCACAACCUUAGGUCACAAAAUCUUCUCUAGGCCUAGGUAGGACAUGGAGGACUAUAAUCAGUUUAGGAAAGGAAGAGUGUGGGCAAUUGAAACCCACCAGUAAUGCCCAAACCUCAUUUAACUCUAGAGUUCUCUUUAAAAGGUUUUGUAAUCUUAAAAAAAAUUUAAUGUAUAUUUUAACAGACAAUGCAUGCACACAGUACAACUUUAAAAGAUGCAAAAAAACCCAAACAAUAAAGGAUAAGUUUUCCUUCUAUAUUUAUCCCCCAGAUCCUUAUUUCCCAUCCCAGAAGGCAACUACUGUUACCAUUUUUUCUGUACUUCCUUCCAGAGAGACUGUAAAUAUAGUCAAGCAAAUAUAUGUAUUUUUUCCAUUGAUGGCAGCAUAGUAUACACAUUAUGGGGCACCAUAACUCUUUCCCUCUUGCUCUCUCUGUGUAUAUAUACAUAUAUACACACACACACGUAUACAUAGAUGUCUGUCUAUCUAUUUUGGAGCACCUUUCAUAUCAGUACAUGAAGAUCUGCCUCAUUCUUUUUAAUGGUUGCUUACUAUUCCAUAUUAGGAUUAUGGCAUAAUUUGGUAAGCCAGUCUUUUAGUGAUGGACAUUUAGAUUGCACUCUGUUGCUAUUACAAAUAAAGUCAUGAUGAGCAGCUCUGUACACACAUUUUUUUCCCACGUCUAAGUGUAUCCAUUCACUCAGUUUUAUUUCACAAUGUUUCAUCUCUUCCUUUUGCCUGCAGCGUCAGUACUAAGGUCACUAUAAUUUUGGAGGUGAGGGAAGGAAAUGGAGCAUCUGAACAAAAUAUCAAGUGUACAAUUAACCUUGAUAACUCAAACCUCAAAGGUGAAAAUAGAAAGGAGACUGAUCACACGUGGGUCACAUGAAGGCUGCCAUAUCUCUGUGCAAACCAGUCUUGAAAAUGCCUUAAAAUUCAGGAUAGGAAGACCGGGAAGGGAGAAAAGUGUUUUCCUUGUAAUGAGGAGAAGAAUCUUUCUAGGGAGCCUUGCAAGAGACUUUACCUUGCUUUGGCCAGAACUGACUCUCAUUUCCAUCCCUAGCUGCAAGGUGGGCUGAGAAGUAAGUACCCCAAUCUCUCACUUAACAACUUUAAUUCGUUCUUGAAAGCCCUGCCACUAAGUGGAAAGCUGUUAAUUUUUAAAAUUCCAUUAAUUUUAAUGGGAAAAAUUGCAAUAUGUUUUGUCCCAAUCCAAGAUACUCAAAUAAUUUUCACAGAUAAGAAAAUACAUCAAGUGAACAAUGAAAAUAAGUUUCUGUAAGAAAUCGAGAACAGUUUGAAAGUCAAUAAAUACAGUUUGUACACAAAGUGUAAUAUAGAC